rnacentral:tRNA from 1 species
GGGGGCGUAGUUCAGUUGGUGAGAACGCUGGUCUGUCACACCAGAGGUCGCGAGUUCGAGUCUCGUCGCUCCCGCCA